UUAACUUAUUUUGUUUUUUUGCUCAGACGACACGUAUACGUGGGUUCGGGGUUCUCCGGCGGGCGCGCCCCGGCCGCAGCCGGGGGCCCCCGAAAGGGCAGGCCCGCCAAAGCAACAUCGGUAAAUAACACAGGGUGGGAGGUCUACCCCGAAGGGCAUGAUCUCUUUAAUGAUCCUUCCGCUGGUUCACCAACGGAAA
rnacentral:misc_RNA from 1 species